rnacentral:rRNA from 1 species
AGUGUUAAGAGUAACAAGGUUUCCGUAGGUGAACCUGCGGAAGGAUCAUUAUUGAUUGGUCGAAAGACCUUAUCAGAUUCUACCACCUCUGUGAACUGUUGGACCUCCGGGUCUACAAUCAAACAUCAGUGUAACGAACGUAAGAGUAUCUUAACGAAACAAAACUUUCAACAACGGAUCUCUUGGCUCUCGCAUCGAUGAAGAACGCAGCGAAAUGCGAUAAGUAAUGUGAAUUGCAGAAUUCAGUGAAUCAUCGAAUCUUUGAACGCACCUUGCGCCUUUUGGUAUUCCGAAAGGCAUGCCUGUUUGAGUGUCAUGAAAUCUCAAUCCUCCUAGGUUUUUGACCUGGUUGGGCUUGGACAUGGGCGUCUGCCAGCAAUGGCUCGCCUUAAAUGACUUAGUGGAACAUCCCACAUCAGUGUUAGACGUAAUAAGUUUCGUCUCUCCAUGUGCUGAUGACUGCUCAUAAUCUGCCAUUGCGCACUUUUGACUUUGACCUCUUGGGCAGU